rnacentral:rRNA from 1 species
GUGUUACAGCCGCCGCCGUAACACAUGCAAGUCGAACGGUAAGGCCCCUUCGGGGGUACACGAGUGGCGAACGGGUGAGUAACACGUGGGUGAUCUGCCCUGCACUCUGGGAUAAGCCUGGGAAACUGGGUCUAAUACCGGAUAUGAGCUCCUGUCGCAUGGCGGGGGUUGGAAAGGUUUACUGGUGCAGGAUGGGCCCGCGGCCUAUCAGCUUGUUGGUGGGGUAAUGGCCUACCAAGGCGACGACGGGUAGCCGGCCUGAGAGGGCGACCGGCCACACUGGGACUGAGACACGGCCCAGACUCCUACGGGAGGCAGCAGUGGGGAAUAUUGCACAAUGGGCGAAAGCCUGAUGCAGCGACGCCGCGUGAGGGAUGACGGCCUUCGGGUUGUAAACCUCUUUCAGCAGGGACGAAGCGAGAGUGACGGUACCUGCAGAAGAAGCACCGGCCAACUACGUGCCAGCCGCCGCAGU